rnacentral:rRNA from 1 species
UACGUAGGGAGCAAGCGUUGUUCGGAUUUACUGGGCGUAAAGGGCGCGUAGGCGGCAGAUCAAGUCAGUUGUGAAAUCUCUGAGCUUAACUCAGAACUGUCAACUGAUACUGCUCUGCUAGAGUGCGGAAGGGGCAAUCGGAAUUCUUGGUGUAGCGGUGAAAUGCGUAGAUAUCAAGAGGAACACCUGAGGUGAAGACGGGUUGCUGGGCCGACACUGACGCUGAGUGCGCAAAAGCCAGGGGAGCAAACGGG